CUGACUUCCCCACAGAAGCACAUCACUGUCUAACACAGGAAACCUGCCAGGAAAUUCUACAUGCCGCACUGUACAGUCCUCUACUGUACUCACUGCAGUCUGAAAUCUCCAAACAAAUGAUCUUUCUACGUUUGAUUUGCUUUCAGGAUACCACUCUGGUGAACCACAACAGCGAAAACACAGCCAUUACGGCUCUAAAAAGCUGAGUUUGUGGUGCUUUGACAUUUACACUGAUCCAGGCAGCAGCGCUGGGACUGGAGGGAAGUGGAGGUUCACAGAUCCUACAGCACAGGAUAAGCCUUCCACUGGAGGAGCUGUUAUCUGUAACAGCAGUUGAGUCUGGUGGGGUCGGCUCACCUGCGAGAUGAACAAAGACAGUGUCACAAAAACAGCUUAGCAUAAAUGCUUGAAAAAAGUUAAUCAAUCAAUAAAAUGUCUCAAAUAA